rnacentral:rRNA from 1 species
GAUGAACGCUGGCGGCGUGCCUAAUACAUGCAAGUCGAGCGAACAGACGAGGAGCUUGCUCCUCUGACGUUAGCGGCGGACGGGUGAGUAACACGUGGAUAACCUACCUAUAAGACUGGGAUAAUUUCGGGAAACCGGAGCUAAUACCGGAUAAUAUAUUGAACCGCAUGGUUCAAUAGUGAAAGACGGUUUUGCUGUCACUUAUAGAUGGAUCCGCGCCGCAUUAGCUAGUUGGUAAGGUAACGGCUUACCAAGGCGACGAUGCGUAGCCGACCCGAGAGGGUGGAUCGACACACGGGAACGGAGGCCCGGCCCAAACCCCGUCGGGGGGGCAGAGUGGGGAAUAUUCCGCGAUGGGGGAAAGCCGGAUCGAGGCAACGCGGGGGGGGGAAGAAGGCGUUAGGGUUCGUAAACCUUUUUUUUGGGAGAAAAAAAAAGGUGGAUGAUACUGCGCUGGUUUGACGGGACCCUAAGAAUAAGCCCCGGCUAACUUCGGG